rnacentral:rRNA from 1 species
GACGAACGCUGGCGGCGUGCUUAACACAUGCAAGUCGUACGGUAAGGCCCUUUCGGGGGUACACGAGUGGCGAACGGGUGAGUAACACGUGAGUAACCUGCCCACAACUUUGGGAUAACGCUAGGAAACUGGUGCUAAUACUGGAUAUGUGCUCCUGCUGCAUGGUGGGGGUUGGAGAGCUCCGGCGGUUGUGGAUGGACUCGCGGCCUAUCCGCUUGUUGGUGGGGUAGUGGCCUACCAAGGCGGCGACGGGUAGCCGGCCUGAGGGGGUGACCGGCCACAUUGGGACUGGGAGACGGGCCAGACUCCGACGGGAGGCAGCAGUGGGGAAUAUUGCACAAGGGGCGCAAGCCUGAUGCAGCAACGCCGCGUGCGGGAUAACGGCCUUCGGGUUGUAAACCGCGUUCAGCAGGGACGAAGCUUUUUGUGACGGUACCUGCAGAAGAAGCACCGGCUAACUACGUG